UACGGGGGGGAGCAAGCGUUUGUUCGGAUUUACUGGGCGUAAAGGGCGCGUAGGCGGCGUAACAAGUCACUUGUGAAAUCUCCGGGGCUUAACUCGGAGCGGUCAAGUGGAUACUGUUGUGCUAGAGUGCGGAAGGGGCUACUGGAAUUCUCGGUGUGCGGUCGAAAUGCGUAGAUAUCGAGAGGAACACCUGCGGCGAAGGCGGGUAGCUGGGCCGACACUGACGCUGAAGCGCGAAAGCUAGGGGAGCGAACGGG
rnacentral:rRNA from 1 species